UUUCUAGUAUAGACAGUGGACGAGCUGAAGCAGUUAUAGGAAAGAUGGACGUAUCUGUCUUCUUCUAGAACUUGCAAAAUCAUGGCGAGAAGGGAUUCAGUCAGAAGCUGCAAAGGCUAUUGCAAAGUCUGUUGCUGAAGAAGGAAGAAUCAGAAUUCUUGCUGGUUUGGCAAAGUCAAUGAACAGACUUGUGGCUGAGGAAGCUGCUGGUGGACUAUGGAAUCUCUCUCUGUCGGAGAAGAGCAUAAGGUGAAGAAUAACCCGUGGCGAGAUGUUGAUGCUCAGAGUGGGGUCUUGCUAUGGUCUAACAGAAGUAAGGUACCACACCGUGCUAUCUGGUGUUUCAAGGAGUCUUGGCAUCUGCUGUCAGGCACAUUCAUCAGUCAAAAGCCUAACUUUCAGGUCUGCUUUCUCCUAUCAAGUAUUAUAACAUGGGAAACGAAAAGAGUCAAAAGCCUACAAAGAACAACUCUGUGUCAGCCUCUAAUAUAGUAUCUCAGCUAAUGGGAAGCUGCUUGCGAUGAACCCUUGAAGGAGAUGUUAUGAUACUUGACAUACCUCAACAAGUCGGAGAGGUAUCAAACAUACCUCAACAUCGUGUUCUUCUAAAUCCUCUGCUUCACCAUCUUGUGGAUCGGAGGACCUUGUUGUGUCCAUGGCGUUUCUCUUCAACUACUCCCAUCUUUGUCAAUUAAUUUGAAUUCCAAGGAGGUCAUCAUAAAAACUAGAGACCAUGUGCAACUUCAAUGAAACCUAAGAAGUACCAUAAGGAAGUACACCACAUGCAUCUGCUAUAAUUUUCAGGAAUUUAAUCUUCAAGCAAUGAAAAGGGCUAACCAACAUGCAUAAACAUCUUUAAUAGCUUCACCAAUAAUGAUUGGAGGCCUCACUUUACUGAACCAAGGAGCCUUGUAGCCCUGUGAACAAAAAGGUCUGAAUGAUGAGUUAAGAUAUGAGUACUUGGAGAAAAGUUGUCUGAUGAUGAAUCCAUUGCACUUUGGCCACAAAAUCAGUCACAAUUAUCUCAAGCCAAAGGCAAUCAUUUGAAAAAUGUGAAAAGGGAAACGAGUAUUGCUCUGACCUGCUUCAAGAUCCUUCAUUUGAAUUCACUCGCGACUCCUGCCAAUGGCUUGAAUGAGUAAGCUCUAUCGUGGUCUCUCUGAUCCAUGUAUGCCAGAAGGAAAGUAACUAUCCUUUCUAGUUUAUGAUAAGGUUCAUCAAAGCUACUGUCAGAAAAAAGUAGAAAGAAGUCCAAGCUGGGGGUGACGUGGCAUUAAAGAAAGUGGAAGCAAACCCUAUGUAAUGUUUGACUGGGGGAAAGGGAAAAGCAGAGACUGCGAUGGAAACAGAGGCUUCCAACUCCAUAUAAAGAAGCGUUGCUCCUCUUCUAUCUUUGGCCUGCGUGCUUGGUGGAGUCGAUCGCUAUGUGAUCGACCUGAGGAAUCAUUUUGUAAUUUGUGAUUACAUAAACGAUCUGUAUCCUUUGUGUUUAUCGAUUUGUAAACACAGUUUUAUCAAUAGGUUUUCGGAUUUCUUA